rnacentral:misc_RNA from 1 species
AGAGAGAGAGAGAGAGAGACUACAGUUUGACUAUUAUUUUUCACUUACCUUUCGGGCAUUUUCUUGGGCCAUGAAAUGGUUUUCCCUAUACUAGAUGCACAUUCAAGUGAAGAAUUAAUGUACAAGUGGGUGGACAGUGGACCAAUUUUCUUUCCUUCCCAUGGACAAUUAUUAUAAUGGUCUAGCAUUACCUAUAUCGUUCAUACAAGAAUAUAGACCCGCACAAACAAAGAUAAUAAGGAAAAAUUAGCAUGAUGCAAGAUUUAGCUGAGAUUAGCAAGCUUACUUAUCCCUGUUGCACUCCACAAUUUCUAAGAAAUCUUCAGCAGCUGCACGCAUAUGGAGGAACAUAGGCAGCUUUAUGGCAUAUGCUAAUUCAAACUGCUUCUCAAAA